rfam:Cedecea davisae DSM 4568 genomic scaffold Scaffold0, whole genome shotgun sequence.
GUCAUACUACGGUGCAUCGCGGUGCAAAGUAAACGAUGACCCUUACGGAACUCCAGGGUAAAAUGUCGGUCAAUUUGAAAACUGUUACUGACCUGGGGCUAUGAUUCCGGGUCGGUUUUCUUU